ACAAACUUGGUCAUUUAGAGGAAGUAAAAGUCGUAACAAGGUUUCCGUAGGUGAACCUGCGGAAGGAUCAUUACCGUGUGAAUCGCGCUGGAGGGGGUUCCCCCCUCCGGUUCGCACACCCUCUGUGUAUCUCUCCGGUUGCUUCGGCGGGUUGCGGUUCGCCGCCGCCGUCCCCCCCCCUUCCUGGGGAGGAUGGCGCCCGACUCGCCGAAAGACAGCUAAACUCUGGCUUUUGCGGUGACGUCUGAGCCUAAUAUUUGAAAUAUACAAAAAACUUUCAACGAUGGAUCUCUUGGUUCCAGGAUCGAUGAAGAACGCAGC
rnacentral:misc_RNA from 1 species